rnacentral:snRNA from 1 species
GAAUGUGAGGGCCAUCUGGCUGCAACAUCUGUCAUCUCAUUGAGCACCAGGGUAGAUUCGGCCAAUCUGGCUGGCUAGGCAGGUGUCCCCUUCCUCCCUCACCGCUCCAUGUGUGUCCCUCUCGAAGCUGCAUGCUCAGCUGAGGACCGAAGAGGAUGACCUUCCUGGAUAGAGGAGAACCAUUCUUAAGUCAAUGGCAUAUGAGUAGCUGCACUCCCCUGCUAGAAUCUCCAAACAAGCUCUCAAAAUAUCGAAUACUUAGGGAUAAAUGUGACAAAAGAUGUGCAAGACCUGUACACUGAGAAUUAC